UUUUCAAUGGUAUAUGUGCCAAUAAGAUGUAACCCCCUACAUGUGUCACUGAAAAACCCUAUUAGUAUUAUGUUGCUCAUGUCAACCCUUCCUUCUUUUUGCAUGAAAAUAUCAAUACAAAUAAAAGACAAGUGAAAAUAGUCUUUGCCUUUAAAAGGCAUAUAGAAAUGGCCAAAACUAAACACAAACUAGGAGAAAAACGGGACAACUCUACUGAAACUGAAAAAACUGAAUAAUUUUAAGAAUAA